CUAACACAUGCAAGUCGAACGAGAGAGAAGGAGCUUGCUUCUUCGAUCGAGUGGCGAACGGGUGAGUAACGCGUGAGGAACCUGCCUCAAAGAGGGGGACAACAGUUGGAAACGACUGCUAAUACCGCAUAAGCCCACGGGUCGGCAUCGACCUGAGGGAAAAGGAGUGAUCCGCUUUGAGAUGGCCUCGCGUCCGAUUAGCUAGUUGGUGAGGUAACGGCCCACCAAGGCGACGAUCGGUAGCCGGACUGAGAGGUUGAACGGCCACAUUGGGACUGAGACACGGCCCAGACUCCUACGGGAGGCAGCAGUGGGGAAUAUUGCACAAUGGGGGGAACCCUGAUGCAGCGACGCCGCGUGGAGGAAGAAGGUCUUCGGAUUGUAAACUCCUGUUGUUGAGGAAGAUAAUGACGGUACUCAACAAGGAAGUGACGGCUAACUACGUGCCAGCAGCCGCGGUAAAACGUAGGUCACAAGCGUUGUCCGGAAUUACUGGGUGUAAAGGGAGCGCAGGCGGGAAGAUAAGUUGGAAGUGAAAUCUAUGGGCUCAACCCAUAAACUGCUUUCAAAACUGUUUUUCUUGAGUAGUGCAGAGGUAGGCGGAAUUCCCGGUGUAGCGGUGGAAUGCGUAGAUAUCGGGAGGAACACCAGUGGCGAAGGCGGCCUACUGGGCACCAACUGACGC
rnacentral:rRNA from 1 species